GACACUUUGGCCGAGUGGUUAAGGCGAUGCCCUGCUAUCCUUCAGGUUAUCAUAGGCAUUGUGUUCGCACGCGCAGGUUCGAAUCCUGCAGGUGUCG
rnacentral:tRNA from 2 species